ACACAUGGUGGGGCUGUCGUGUUCCAUUCCAGUAUCUCGUGCCCGACUGUAGUGUAAUAUGACUCUUGUUAUAAACGGGACCCAGGAAAAUAUAAGUUUUGUGAAGCAUCAAGAAUCUUAGGCACGGAAGCUGCGUAGGAGUGCUUUGCCUCUGGGCCGUGACUUGAAACGUCUCUCGCGUGACGAAACGGGACAGUGCGUUGACCUCCUCUCAGUCUGGUCACGAACCCCUCGAAAACGUUACAGUGUACACUGAAUGUCUCCGGUUCGAGUUUACGCCAGCACUGGCGCCGCUUGCUGUUGACGCCUGCUCGCGACGUACUUCAGUUGGCCGCAAGAGUCUCGACAGGUUCCACAAGUGGCUUCCAAGACGCUCAUGAUGUACGUUUGGACACUGGUAACAGUGCCCAACUCGAUUCCGCUUCAAUGUGAGAGGCAAGUGCCGAAUUCGGACCCUAGUCGCGAUGUAUCGAGCGUAGAACGCACGCGUAAAGCUUGUCGUGCUCAUUGUAUGCCCUCUGAUGGAACUGUGCCCUCGAGACUCGUCUUCAGAUACCAUGAAUUCGUUCUGGAAUCACUGGAACAAGAAGCACGAAACGAGCGUUCAAAGCACCGACACGUUAUGCUUUGCAGGCAUCCGAUAGCUAAGCAGCGCUCGGAACGGCCGCGGCGCCUCCGCAGGCGGAAAGAAAUCCGUACCGACUCUGAACCAAGCGCUAUGCAAUACUUGUACAACGAGCACCGUUUAGAAUGUACAGGGGGCUUCUAUUGCUUCCGAAACAAAUCUCGACGAGCAACUGCUGAGCAUUUGCUCACCGGCUGAAACGUAUGCACCACUGAGCCAGUUGCAGUGCCCUCGUAGCAUGCAGGCAUCGAGAAUAUGAACCUCGGAUGGUACCGCAAGUCCGUCAGAGGCCGCUAUGACUGCAUACUUGCAUCUGAUGCGCUUCAGGAAAUAGACGAGGCGUCACCGAGGCUUGGUAUACAUGUGCAGAGCCCGAAUGCGCGCAGACCUCUUCUAAAGUGUAUUCGCGACACCAUCUCGCUACCGUGCCGUAGAUCAGAGACAGCCACGCACCAGAGCAGGUAUGCAGCAUACCCGUGAGCGAGCACGCGUGUGAAAGGCACUCGCAAGACAGGCAGCCCUGACGAUUGUAUGAAUGUUCGCGUAGCCAUGAGCGUAUUCGGGCGAUGAGCGUGAGCGCUACGCGAUGAUGCAGAUUCGCGUGUGCGAGCGCCUACGAACGUAGCGCUAGUGCUUCAACGGGAACGGGAUGUGUUCGCUAACCUAAGACGUAGAUGCUCAAAGGAUUCGCAAUCGUGCAUUGGCACGGCCUCGGCAGCAUUCUCGUAAGCAGUUCGCGAGCGAUGUGUCCAUGCGCGUCGAGCAAAGCCAAGUAGUUGCGCCUGUUCCCGCCGUCUUGCGCGACAUGAAUCGGCGUAUCGCUGGAGCCAUUCCCGUUCAACCCUGCGCUCAAGUUCGAUAUGCUGCUCCUUCUGUCGCUUAUGCGCUUCAUCGCGAACGAAAUACGGAAGAUUGGUGUCCGUGGUGCGUCGUUCCCAACGAAACGCGCCUUGUGGCUCCAGUACAAAACUGGGCAGAGGUGCGAGUGCGGAGAGUAUGUACGGUAAGAAAAGAAAAAUCAGAAAGGGCAUAAAGUGCCAAAACAUGCCAAGUCGACGAGCAUGACCCGCGUUUCCCGCUGCGGACGGGUGGCCACGUUGGCGCUGUUGUCGUGCUCGCGACAAAAACGCUGCCCGGCGUUGUGCCAAGUACGACAUGGGCAUGCCGGCCCCAAAGCCGCCGUAGAAGAACGCCUCAAAAAGCUCUUCGGCACUCAUUUCUCCAGGUCCAAAAAAGAAACCGUCAAAAGCGUCCGGGGUAUAGAUGCGGGCACCACGUGCGCCGUGAAAAGAUGACGAGCCUGUCAUGAAAAACACAUCCGCGUGGUGCUCUGCCUGAGCCUGUGCUUGUUGGUACCUCAGCGCAGACUGCUCGUCGUCAAUGCCAGUCUGAUCGUAGAGUCGACGCCGGUCCGGGUUGGACAACGUCUGAAAAGCGUGUGCAAUGCGCUUGAACGCAGCGUCGGCGCCCGGCUCGCUGUUCUUGUCCGGAUGAAAGCGCAAUGCGAGUCGGCGAUAGGCACGGCGAAGGUCGUCGUCAGAUGCGUUUCGCUCCACAGAUAAUACUCGGUAGAGAUCUCGAGCAUUCAGUAUUUCUGCAAUAUCUUCGCGUGAGGUCGAAGGUCGCUGCGAAGGAGAUCGGCUAGAGCGCUGUCUCGAUGUUUGGGCAGGUUGCGGCUUUUGCGUGCGCGUAUGCGAAGCAGCGCUCGCUGCCUCUUCAGAAGCUGCCUGCGAAUGACCGUUUGAGUGACUAGCACCUGUGUUCACGUAAUUGUUGGAUCUUGGCUGGUGCUUUGCGUGCGCGUCUGCCUCGCGCUUACCCGAUGCACCAGCACCAGCAGCGUCUUCAACAGGAGCGCUAGGUUGCCCUCUGCGGUCGUGGGUGUUCACGGGAGGCACCUGGCCGGCACCCGCCGCGUCAUCUUCUCCCGCACCAACCACAGCUUGGUCAUGGUCUGCACUGUUCAGGACAAAACCUGUUCGACGAGCAGAUUUCUCAAGCGUCUCGAGUAAACUCCGCGCUUCAGCGCUAUCA